rnacentral:rRNA from 1 species
AGCGAACGCUGGCGGCAGGCCUAACACAUGCGAGUCGAACGGAUCCUUCGGGAUUAGUGGCGGACGGGUGAGUAACACGUGGGAACGUGCCCUUUGGUUCGGAACAACUCAGGGAAACUUGAGCUAAUACCGGAUGCGCCCUUCGGGGGAAAGAUUUAUCGCCAUUGGAGCGGCCCGCGUCUGAUUAGCUAGUUGGUGAGGUAACGGCCCACCAAGGCGACGAUCAGUAGCUGGUCUGAGAGGAUGAUCAGCCACACUGGGACUGAGACACGGCCCAGACUCCUACGGGAGGCAGCAGUGGGGAAUCUUGCGCAAUGGGCGAAAGCCUGACGCAGCCAUGCCGCGUGAAUGAUGAAGGUCUUAGGAUUGUAAAAUUCUUUCAGCGGGGACGAUAAUGACGGUACCCGCAGAAGAAGCUCCGGCUAACUUCGUG